rnacentral:rRNA from 1 species
AGGGAGAAGUACAACAGGGAUUGCCUUAGUAACGGCGAGUGAAGCGGCAAUAGCUCAAAUUUGAAAGCUGGCGUCUUCGACGUCCGCGUUGUAAUUUGUAGAGGAUGCUUCGGCGAGGACUCCUGCCUAAGUCCCCUGGAACGGGGCGUCACAGAGGGUGAGAAUCCCGUAUGUGGCGGGCGGUCCAAGCCAUGUGAAGCUCCUUCGACGAGUCGAGUUGUUUGGGAAUGCAGCUCUAAAUGGGAGGUAAAUUUCUUCUAAAGCUAAAUAUUGGCCAGAGACCGAUAGCGCACAAGUAGAGUGAUCGAAAGAUGAAAAGCACUUUGGAAAGAGAGUUAAAAAGUACGUGAAAUUGUUGAAAGGGAAGCGCUUGCAACCAGACUCGCUCGCAGUUGCUCAGCCGGCCUCUUGGCCGGCGUACUCUUCUGCGAUCGGGCCAGCAUCAGUUCGGGCGGCCGGAUAAAGGUGUCGGGAAUGUAGCACCCUUCGGGGUGUGUUAUAGCCCGGCGCGGAAUGCGGCCAGCCUGGACUGAGGAUCUCGCUUCGGCAAGGAUGCUGGCGUAAUGGUUGUAAGCGGCCCGUCUUGAAACACGGACCAAGGAGUCUAACAUCUAUGCGAGUGUUUGGGUGUCAAACCCAUGCGCGUAAUGAAAGUGAACGGAGGUGGGAACCCCUCACGGGGUGCACCAUCGACCGAUCCUGAUGUCUUCGGAUGGAUUUGAGUAAGAGCAUAGCUGUUGGGACCCGAAAGAUGGUGAACUAUGCCUGAAUAGGGUGAAGCCAGAGGAAACUCUGGUGGAGGCUCGCAGCGGUUCUGACGUGCAAAUCGAUCGUCAAAUUUGGGUAUAGGGGCGAAAGACUAAUCGAACCAUCUUUUUCCC